rnacentral:rRNA from 1 species
CCUACGGGAGGCUGCAGUGGGGAAUAUUGGACAAUGGGCGAAAGCCUGAUCCAGCCAUGCCGCGUGUGUGAAGAAGGCCUUCGGGUUGUAAAGCACUUUCAGUGGGGAAGAAAGCCUUGGGGCUAAUACCCUCGAGGAAGGACAUCACCCACAGAAGAAGCACCGGCUAACUCCGUGCCAGCAGCCGCGGUAAUACGGAGGGUGCGAGCGUUAAUCGGAAUUACUGGGCGUAAAGCGCGCGUAGGCGGUCUGAUAAGCCGGUUGUGAAAGCCCCGGGCUCAACCUGGGAACGGCAUCCGGAACUGUCAGGCUAGAGUGCAGGAGAGGAAGGUAGAAUUCCCGGGGUAGCGGUGAAAUGCGUAGAGAUCGGGAGGAAGACCAGUGGCGAAGGCGGCCUUCUGGACUGACACUGACGCUGAGGUGCGAAAGCGUGGGUAGCAAACAGGAUUAGAUACCCUAGUAGUC